rnacentral:misc_RNA from 1 species
GCGUAGGUGUAAAUAAUAUCUUUGGCCCGUUGUGUGUUGUGGUAAUAUGUGACAAAAUGUUAACAAAAUAAUGAUUGUGAAGCAUCCUAAGCCAGCAGGAAGAAAAUACAUUCGUAGUGCUACAAAAAUUUUAUUAGUGGCCGAGGCAAUUGCAUUUGCAGGAACGUAUGCUGCAUGGUAUCGAAUGAAUACAUCUCGAGACUUUCGGCUUUACAUGUACCACAAUUUUAACUGGGCAUUGGAAGGUUUCUAUAGAACUGGUGAAUACCUGGGAUCCAGUAACAUACGGGAUAUUGAUAUGUCCGUGUGGAUUCAGGAAGGCAAAGUGCGGAAGGUCGAAAAAUAGUGUCAGGGAAAUUAGUGUGUUAUGGCUCUUGUAAAAUCAGUUAUUUAUAUGCUGAGCUUCGGAGCUUUAGGUUAUACUUUAAUGAAGGUGACAUCGUCAAAUAAUACAGAACUUGAAAAGGUGAGAGAAAUUGAGACGAUCUGAUCCAGCUUACCAGUCAGAUGUGCAGCGAAAGAAGCAAGAAAUGCUUAACGUUUUGCGUGGUGCAGCUCAAGAUUUUACACCUAUUUACCGAAAGACCAAAGAAGAAGUUGAAACAAAAAAGAAGGAAUAUGUUUCUGGUGACAAAUAACGAAUAUUGAGGUAGUUAUUGUAGCAGGCCUCAGCUUCGUAGUGGACAGUGUUGCUUUUGUGAGUGCAGUAUUUCCUGGUUGUAUUGUUGACUAUUAGGUAUAUUUAAAUGGAAAUGGAUAAAAUUGCAGUAGAGGACAACCGUGAUCUUGUAAAGGAAAAACUAAUGCGUAGAGAAGCAGAAAGGCAGCAACUGCUUGAACAAAAAAGGGAAGAAAAGGAACAAAGAUCAACUGGUGAAGAGCUCAGUUACUUUUUUGAUA